rnacentral:rRNA from 1 species
UACGUAGGGUGCAAGCGUUAAUCGGAAUUACUGGGCGUAAAGCGUGCGCAGGCGGUUUUGUAAGUCUGACGUGAAAUCCCCGGGCUCAACCUGGGAAUUGCGUUGGAGACUGCAAGGCUAGAAUCUGGCAGAGGGGGGUAGAAUUCCACGUGUAGCAGUGAAAUGCGUUGAGAUGUGGAGGAACACCGAUGGCGAAGGCAGCCCCCUGGGUCAAGAUUGACGCUCAUGCACGAAAGCGUGGGGAGCAAACAGG